rnacentral:rRNA from 1 species
AUGACGGCCAAGGGCGGCGCGUCGCCGGCGCCGGGCGGCGCGGGGGCUGCGGCCAACGGGCGCUUCUUCACGGUGGGGCUCGUCACCGCCUGGUACUCCUCCAACAUCGGCGUGCUCCUGCUCAACAAGUACCUCCUCAGCAACUACGGCUUCAAGUACCCCAUCUUCCUCACCAUGUGCCACAUGUCCGCCUGCGCGCUCUUCUCCUACGCCGCCAUCGCCUGGCUCCGGAUCGUGCCCAUGCAGCUCGUGCGCUCGCGCGUCCAGCUCGCCAAGAUCUCCGCGCUCAGCCUCGUCUUCUGCGGCUCCGUCGUCUCCGGCAACGUCUCGCUCCGCUACCUGCCCGUCUCCUUCAAUCAGGCUGUCGGUGCCACCACCCCUUUCUUCACCGCCGUGUUCGCCUACAUCAUGACCGUCAAGCGGGAGUCGUGGAUCACGUACCUCACUCUCGUCCCCGUCGUCACCGGCGUCGUCAUCGCCAGCGGCGGCGAGCCUAGCUUUCAUCUGUUUGGAUUCAUCAUGUGCAUUGGAGCCACUGCCGCAAGGGCGUUGAAGACCGUGUUGCAAGGAAUUCUUCUGUCUUCUGAGGGGGAGAAGCUUAAUUCUAUGAACCUGCUCUUGUACAUGGCUCCGAUUGCUGUCAUUCUCUUGCUUCCUGCUACCCUCUUUAUGGAGGAUAAUGUUGUUGGCGUUACAAUAGAACUGGCCAAGAAGGAUUUCACCAUUGUUUGGUUGCUGUUGUUCAACUCUUGCUUGUCAUAUUUUGUCAAUUUGACCAAUUUCUUGGUGACCAAACAUACUAGCGCAUUGACUCUACAGGUCCUUGGAAAUGCAAAAGGUGCUGUGGCAGUUGUCGUCUCAAUUCUGAUAUUCAAGAAUCCUGUGUCUGUAACCGGAAUGCUUGGUUACACCCUCACAGUUAUAGGCGUCAUUCUUUACAGUGAAUCCAAAAAGCGUAGCAAACCCUAA